UACGUAGGGGGCUAGCGUUGUCCGGAAUCAUUGGGCGUAAAGCGCGUGUAGGCGGUCCGGUAAGUCCGCUGUGAAAGUCGAGGGCUCAACCCUCGAAUGCCGGUGGAUACUGUCGGGCUUGAGUACGGGAGAGGCGAGUGGAAUUCCUGGUGUAGCGGUGAAAUGCGCAGAUAUCAGGAGGAACACCGGUGGCGAAGGCGGUUCUCUGGGCCUUACCUGACGCUGAGGAGCGAAAGCGUGGGGAGCGAACAGG
rnacentral:rRNA from 1 species